rnacentral:rRNA from 1 species
AUUGAACGCUGGCGGCAGGCCUAACACAUGCAAGUCGAGCGAGCGGCGGACGGGUGAGUAAUGUCUGGGAAACUGCCUGAUGGAGGGGGAUAACUACUGGAAACGGUAGCUAAUACCGCAUACCAUCAGAUGUGCCCAGCUGGGAUGAGCUAGUAGGUGGGGUAACGGCUCACCUAGGCGACGCUCCCUAGCUGGUCUGAGAGGAUGACCAACAACACUGGAACUGAGACACGGUCCAGACUCCUAGGGUAGGCAGCAGUGGGGAAUAUUGCACAAUGGGCGCAAGCCGGAUGCAGCCAUGCCGCGUGUGUGAAGAAGGCCUUCGGGUUGUAAAGCACUGUCAGCGGGGAGGCGUUACCCGCAGAAGAAGCACCGGCUAACUCCGUGCCAGCAGCCGCGGUAAUAC